rnacentral:rRNA from 1 species
AACGAACGCUGGCGGCAGGCUUAACACAUGCAAGUCGAACGCACCUUUCGGGGUGAGUGGCAGACGGGUGAGUAACGCGUGGGAAUCUACCCUUCUCUACGGGAUAGCUCCGGGAAACUGGAAUUAAUACCGUAUACGUCCUGAGGGAGAAAGAUUUAUCGGGGAAGGAUGAGCCCGCGUUGGAUUAGCUAGUUGGUGGGGUAAAGGCCUACCAAGGCGACGAUCCAUAGCUGGUCUAAGAGGACGAUCAGCCACAUUGGGACUGAGACACGGCCCAAACUCCGACGGGAGGCAGAAGAAGGGAAGCGUCCGCAAGGGGGGAAAGCCGGAAGGAGCAACGCAGCGUGAGUGAUGAAGGUCUUCGGAUCGUAAAACUUUGUGAUUAGGGAAGAACAAAUGUGUAAGUAACUAUGCACGUCUUGACGGUACCUAAUCAGAAAGCCACGGCUAACUACGUG